rnacentral:rRNA from 1 species
UGCGUAGGCGGUUUAGUAAGUAGGGUGUGAAAUGCCCAGAGCUCAACUUUGGCACGGCGCUCUAAACUGCUAAACUUGAGUGAGAUAGGGGUGUACGGAACUUCCGGUGGAGCGGUGAAAUGCGUUGAUAUCGGAAGGAACACCGGUGGCGAAAGCGGUACACUGGGUCUUAACUGACGCUGAGGCACGAAAGCCAGGGUAGCGAACG